UUACUUUGGUUUCUCUUCAUAACGCACAAGUCUUUCGCCUUUUACUAAAGACUUCCGUGGAGAGGAACACCAAUGAGUUGAACUUAUUGCCUUGUGCAUUUGUGAAAAG